GAUGAACGCUGGCGGCGUGCCUAAUACAUGCAAGUCGAGCGAACAGACGAGGAGCUUGCUCCUCUGACGUUAGCGGCGGACGGGUGAGUAACACGUGGAUAACCUACCUAUAAGACUGGGAUAACUUCGGGAAACCGGAGCUAAUACCGGAUAAUAUAUUGAACCGCAUGGUACAAUAGUGAAAGACGGUUUUGCUGUCACUUAUAGAUGGAUCCGCGCCGCAUUAGCUAGUUGGUAAGGUAACGGCUUACCAAGGCAACGAUGCGUAGCCGACCUGAGAGGGUGAUCGGCCACACUGGAACUGGGACACGGUCCAGACUCCUACGGGAGGCAGCAGUAGGGAAUCUUCCGCAAUGGGCGAAAGCCUGACGGAGCAACGCCGCGUGAGUGAUGAAGGUCUUCGGAUCGUAAAACUCUGUUAUUAGGGAAGAACAAAUGUGUAAGUAACUAUGCACGUCUUGACGGUACCUAAUCAGAAAGCCACGGCUAACUACGUG
rnacentral:rRNA from 1 species